CUUUCCCGCCCCCCGUAAGCCCCUGCAAACCGCUCCCGAAACCCUAGCUGCUUCUCGCUCCGAUCGGCCGCGCGAGGUGGGGAACCGGUAAUGGCGGAUUCGCGCGUGAGGGGAUUGGAGGUGAGUUGGGAGGGCUCGAGGCGAGGGAACCGAUCGAGAGUGGUAAUGUAGGUGGAUGAUCUCUUGGUUAUCGGAAGGGAGCUGUAGAUCUAGGUUUUUUUAGAUCGGGAGAGGAGGAAGCUUUGGAUCGGAGGGGGCUGCGAUUGAGGUGAGAUGUUGAUUUGUUUAACAAAGUUGAGAUUUUUUCUUUCUUUUUGUUUUUGGGUGAUGGGGAGCUCGGGAUGUAGGUUUUUCACUUUCUCCGUGCUUCUACGUUUCAGCUGUUUCGAAAAGCUGCUUUGAGACUACGUCCACAGCUUUGUUGCAUAUAGCUUUGAAUCUAAUAAACGCUCUUAUUGAUCCGUGCACUUAAUUAAGCUCCCUCUACAUGUGUUAGCCUUUUGCAGCUGCAGCUGCAGCUGCAGCUUCUGCUCCUGCUUCUGCUUCUGCUUCUGCGGCAGGUGGUGUACAGGUGACAGUGUUGCUGUAGAGAGAGAAAAGAGAGGGGGAGGGAAGGGAACGGCUCAUCUUUACCGGGUGCAGCAGCGUAUGAUGAUAUAGCUGUAGAAAAAAGCUGCGGCUGGGAUCUGACAUUUCCGGCCACAAAAGCCAUCUCGAGCGUCCAAAGGCGCCUCCUUUGGUCUCUCUUUCUCUCUCUGUAAACAGUACUGAGACCUGUGUGUAUCGUCAUCAAUGCAAAAGGACAUCUCCACCGACUCCCAAAAACCCUAGCUGUAAAAAGCAGCCGAGAUAAAGAAAGCUACAGCUAAGUGUCGAGAGAGGGACAGAGAGAGAGAGAGAGAGAGAGAGAUCAUUAUAAAGGAGGUAAGCACGAGCAGAAGCAGAAGCUAAAUCUGGCUCCGGCGAGGUAUGAGAUUGGGCGCAUGGAGGCGGAGGGGACCCCCACCAACGCCACCAAGCGCUCUCGGAUCGCCAAUGGCGGCGGCAAGGAGGAGGACGAGGACCACGGAGUUCGCCGGCGCGGCGGAGGCGGCGGCGCUGCUGCGGCGGCGGCGGCGGCGUGGGCGCACCCGUCGUCGCGGAUCUACCGCGUCUCCCGUUCCACCGGCGGUAAGGACCGGCACAGCAAGGUGUACACCGCGAAGGGCCUCCGCGACCGCCGCGUCCGGCUCUCGGUCCCCACCGCCAUCCAAUUCUACGACCUCCAAGAUCGCCUCGGCUUCGACCAGCCCAGCAAGGCCAUCGAGUGGCUCAUCAAGGCCGCCUCCGCCGCCAUCGACGAGCUCCCUUCUCUCGACGGCUCCUUUCCGGAUCCCCCUCCGCCUCCCCCCCGCCGCUCAAUUCUCCACAAUUCCGUCGCCGUCCCCGCACCAGCGCCGGAGUCCGAGGAGGCCCCCCCGCCGCCGCACCCGCAGUUCUCGAAAUCCGGCUGCAGCAGCACUUCCGAGACCAGCAAAGGCUCCGUGCUUUCGCUGUCGCGCUCCGAGAGCCGGGUCAAGGCGCGGGAGCGAGCUCGCAAGCGCACCGCCAAAGAUAAGGAAGACGAUCCCGAUCCCGAUCCCGAUCAUCAGCACAACGAGACCUCCUUCACUGAGCUUCUCACCAGUGGCAGCGGCGGCGCACCGACGCAUCUAUGGCACUUGCCCGCUGCGACGAAGGCCGAUUACUUCGCCCAAGAAGCUGUAAAGACCCACCAAAUUCUCCCCGCCAUCGCUUCCCAAUCCCAAUCCCAAUCCCAAUCCCAAUCCCCCCACUAUGUAAACAACCACCCCACGUUGCCCUUCGCAAUUACGGCCGCCGCGGCGGUGUCGGACCACCAGGAGAUGCAGCAAUUCUCGUUCUUGCAGGAUCAGGCCGUGGCGGUGGCGGCAGCUGGGGAGAGCCUCGGCUUCUCGAUCACGUCAGGCCUCGCGGGUUUCAGCAGGGGGACCCUUCAGUCCAAUUCAGCACCGUCCCAUCAGCUUCCUCACCACCACCAGAACCUGCAGAGGUUCUCGUCUCCGGUCGACGGCUCCAGCCUGUCCUUCUUCUUCGGCGCCACCACGCAGGCCGGCUCGGCCGAGGGCCAGUUCUCGGCCGGGUUCGACAGCCGCCUGCACCUCUGGGACGGGUACCGGCAUUCCGACUUGAAGGGCAAAGGGAAGAACUGAAAUCCUUGCUGGACCUGCUAAAAUUUUGUGAGAGAGAAGGCUAUAAACAGAAAUUAUCUAUCUGUAGAAUGGAGAACUGGAAUAGCUGCAAUAAGUGCAGGGAGUGGAGCUCAAAGUGAAGGUGAAUGCAGGUCCGUCCAGCAUUGGCGGAUUACCUCCCUGUACUUCAAUUUUCACUGGAGUUGUCAUUGCUAUCUUUAAUGCGAAAUUUAUCUUUUUUCUCCUCAUGAAUUGUAUUUAUCAUUCAUGAGUUUUAACUGCUGUAUCGUCGGUGUGUUUCCAGCGAGAAGCAGAUCGGAAUGCGGAAGGUGUUUGUAUAACGGUAGAGAUGGCAUUUGUAUCUGCUGAACCUUUGCUUGUGAUAAUUUUUAGGAGGUAAAAAUUACGUCUUUUUUUUUGGGGGUGUACAUAAAUUAUAAGACUGGUGACAGUCUCCUGGAGCUUUUACGUGCGUAAGUUGGAUUUUUCAGA